AGAUGAAGAUUGAAUUUCUGUUCAAGAAGAUUCAGUCGAUGGUGGCAUAGAGUUCUAAUGUUUCCUGCUGCAGUGACUCUAAGUAUGUGAUGAAGAUCGGUAAAGAAGGUGGUUGCAUCGGCAACAGGAAACAGUUCUUCCUUUGAAUCUUUGUCUGCAUAGACGUGAAUGACCCCGUCUUGCAUCUCAAAAUGAUGAUCAGACUUGCCCUCCGAAGUGUAUUGAAACGGAUCUGGAUUAGGUUUUGGUGUACUGGGGUCAGAUAUGAUUUCUUUCUCCCAUGGAGCAACAGCUUCGCUGAAUACAUAUCUUUUCCGCAUCUCAAGGCAUUCUUGAAGAACCAGAUAUGAUUCUACUUCAUCAGGUAAAGGUACCUCAGAUGGGGUAAUUUUGAGCCGUACAAAAGUUUCUUGCUCGGGCUCUUUCCUCAAAAUAUCAGCUGCAAUCGGAUCAGGCUGAACACCAUGCAGAUCACCAGAUAUACUAUGAGACCGAAUCAUACUUGAAGCAGCCAAAGCAAUCUGCUCUCCAUUGGCAUUAAUGUGAUCGGGAAGAUUUUCAAAUAUACCCUUACAUUCUGGACCUGCAUUUCCAUUAGCAAUCAGAUAGGCUGAACUUAAUUUAGUAUCCUCAGUCAUAUUAUCGUCUUCAUCAUCCGACCCUUCAACACUCUCAAAGGCACUCGUACUUGCAAUGGGGGACUUUGGUGAAGUAGGCCUAAUUGAUCUCUUGGUAGAAUUUUUCCCUUCAGGGAGUGUGUGUAACCUCGGCAGCCCUGCCGGAAUCACGUCCAACAGUACCUGUCCAUUUCGCUUCUCGUCGCCAUCAGGCCCACCGGAAAUAGCAGUGACAUCCGGCAACGAAGCGGAGCCCCUCCGAUUAUAACCGUUCCCUUUACGCCGCACAUGGUUUCCACGCUGCUUCUUGGAAUGCCUGGGCGACUCAACCUCCAAAUUAUCAUCCCGCUCCCUUUCUCUCUCCACAGUCUUGGCAAACUCCAGCAGCUGAGUUAGGGUUUUCCGGUGCAUAUAAUACGCGGAAACAGCGACGACGGAGGCCCCUAUCAGAGCCGCCAUGGCCAUGUGCAAGGGAUAAGUAUCCAUUGGAGUUUGGUAUGAGAAAACGAGUCGUCUCUAACCUGAGAGAAAGCUCUGAAUGGUU
rnacentral:misc_RNA from 1 species